UCUUUUCCGCUUCUACAAAACACCCCUACGGGCUUGUUCAGAAUGGUCUCGCCCCGUAGAAAACCGAUGUAGACAUUUCCGGGAGAGACCACUUCGCGGCUUCCCGGAGGGGGAGAAACUAGGAAUUGGUGAGAACUUGUCUUGAACGUCGCUGGUUGUGCAUCAGCCCGAAAACAAGGGGAGAAAAAAUUGUGCAUGAAGGAUAAGUGAUUCAUUCUUCGCCUCUCUCUUCGGAGUCAGUCAAGAUGCACGGAAGGCUGAAGGUGAAGACGACGGAAGAGCAAG